GGGGAAUUGUUCGCAAUGGGCGCAAGCCUGACGACGCAAUGCCGCGUGGAGGACGAAGGUCUUUGGAUUGUAAACUCCUGUUGCCCGGGACGAAUGGCCACGACCUAACACGUCGUGGUGUGACGGUACCGGGUGAGGAAGCCCCGGCUAACUCUGUGCCAGCAGCCGCGGUAAUACGGAGGGUGCGAGCGUUGUCCGGAAUCACUGGGCGUAAAGGGCGCGUAGGCGGCUGGGGAAGUCGGUGGUGAAAGCUCGUGGCUCAACUACGAGUCGGCCAACGAUACUCCUCGGCUCGAGCACUGUAGAGGCAGGUGGAAUUCCGGGUGUAGCGGUGGAAUGCGUAGAGAUCCGGAAGAACAUCGGUGGCGAAGGCGGCCUGCUGGGCAGUAGCUGACGCUGAGGCGCGACAGCGUGGGGAGCAAAC
rnacentral:rRNA from 1 species